rnacentral:tRNA from 1 species
CCUUCGAAAGCUCAGUUGGUAGAGCGGAGGACUGUAGAUCCUUAGGUCGCUGGUUCAAUUCCGGCUCGAAAGA